GCCAGGGAUAGCUCAGUCAGCAGAGCAUGAGACCCUUAAUCUCAGGGUCAUGGGUUUGAGGCUCACAUUGGGCA